GCUGAUGGAAAUUCAGGAGCUAGAGAAGUGAAAGGAGACAUUUCAGCCAGAGUGUUGAAUCCUGUGUGUUUGUCCAGAGAACAGAGGAUCAAGAGCUUUAAUUCAGUGAUGUCAUAUCUGAGAUCUGCCAAGGCAAUCUGGGAAAAUUAGUGAGCUGAAGG
rnacentral:lncRNA from 1 species